ACGCCUUCUAAGUAAUAACCAAGCAAAGAAUAAUGAGAUCAUGCAACGACUUUAGAAAACAAGAAUGCACAUAUUUUAAUUCUCCAAAUAAACGUUUAAGCUCAAGUCUCACAAGGUUGUAGCGUUAGUUUGACUUCUUUCCUUCAAGCAUGUUACAAAAACUAAUUUUUUCUUUUAUGAUUACAUGUGAUUUCAUAAGUUAUCACCACAACCACGCAUAAAUAAAGAGUAAAUCAAACUUUCAUCCAUGUUUAUAACUCUCUUUAACAGUCAUGCAAUUACAAACUGAAUCCUCAUCAUUGUGUUGGAAGGUACCCUAAGACACAAAUAAGCGCACAAAAACAACUUUUUUUUUGGAUUUUCAAAAACAAUUUUUCAAAUUUUUAUGAAUUUUCGGAUUUUUAUGUCAAAACACACUGAAACA
rnacentral:lncRNA from 1 species